GUCGGGUGCCUUUGGGAAUUUAAAAAUACAUUCUGUGAGCAAAGAGAAAUGCAGACAUGUUCUCAGCGCUGAUCAUUUUCAUCGUGGAUCUAAUGCUCGCUCUGGCCAUUAUUGUUACUUUCUACGCUGUUUACUUAAUCACAGCCACGGGUAUUUUUGUCCUUUUCUAUCUUUUCAAAGGAGAGAUGGAAAAAAACUAUGACUUUAACAAGGGCAGAAUGUGGAUGCCGGAUUCUAGCAAAGCCACUGGGAAGACACUUCCAAGCAACUUAGAGAACGUGGGCCCCAGGGUGCUUCCUGCCCGUUUUCCAGCUGAGAGAGAAGGGAGCUUCCUGCCAAAGGAGAAGCAGUCUUUCUUCUAAAGAGCAAGGGCUCUGUGGCAGAAGAGCCACAGGGAAAGACUUGCCAGAAUACAGUCCGCAGCCAACCAAGGGGUAUUUUUUAAGGUAAAUGAGAGUGGAGAAAAUUGGGAAAGACCCAGUCAUUCCUUUUCUGGUGGCAGUGAGAUCAUCUAAAGGAGAAUCGACUGGAGAAGGAGUGUUCCUAUGGUCAGGAUCCUGAAGGCUUUGUUACUUGGUUUGCAGGAGUUAGAGGGCUAGAAGCCAAAGAUUUUCUGGUUUGUGGAUGGUUGAAGGAAAGCAAGCUCUCAGAAGACAAAGAGAGAACUCAAGUUCAAGAAUGCAUACCUACAGUCCCCUUUUUUGUUUGUUUCUGCCUCUGGUGACAUUGCUAACAAUAUGUAAGCUUUUGGAUUUAGGAGUUUGAUUAGGAUCUUCACACCACUUACUGGCAAUGUAUUUGUGUCAACUCAGUAUCUCUCUAGGCCUCUGUUACCCCAUCUGAAAAGAAAUGGCAUAGGCGUGUAGGGCUCCUGAAAGUCUAAAAUGCUUUAACAAGGGAUUUAAAAAUAUGAAGCCUGGGUCUGGCGAUAUGGCUCAGUUGGUAGAGUGCUUGCCUUGCAUGCACAAGGCCCUGGGUUCAAUUCCCAGCACCAAAAAAAAAAAAAAAAAAAAAAAAGAAGCCUGCUUAGCCAAGAUGACAAUUUAUACAGGAUCUCUAAGUAUCUCCUAAAUACUCUGUUAAUACCUGGGGGAUGCUUGAGAUGCAGGAUCCCCUAAGGGAUCAAGUGUUUUUUUUGUUUGUUUCACCCCUGCUCACAAUUAACGUGUGACAUUCACACCAGCAUCCCUCAGGGAUGCAUAACCCCAAUAGCUCGGAUAUUCUGUCCAAACUUCUAAACCCAUGCAUUUUUGUUCUAUGCACAAGCAAGACAUCUAUUUUGUACUCAGUGUCAAUCCCUUAAAUAAUUUUUCCUUUAGGAUCUCAAUUUGCUCAUCCAUAAGUGAACAUACAGUAUAAAUAACAUUAAUAGCCAUUCCUGGACUGGUAUUUUAUCAUGUAAAGGUAUAUUCAGAAACUGCUUUAUGCAACUCACUAAAGAAACAAAGUGACACAAUACUCAGACUUUCACUUCAAAAGGGCUCCAUUAUGUUUCAAUUUGAAAGGACCCAUGAGCUAGAAAGAAAAUAGAGACCUCAGGCAAAGUAAUUGAGUAGUUAAGCAAACAAAGUGCAAUACUUUUCAAAAAUUAAAGUUUCAAUAAAACCCCAGAAUUUGCCAGUUUUAAUUUUAUUCAUUUUUAAUAUCCUCCUGUGUUUUGAAUGAGAAAAUUAAUCCAGGCUGUCCAAUUGAUUUGCAUUGCAAAUCAUCUUUUGUGCCUUAGAAGACAGAUUUUGCUAAAAGCAAAUGGAUGGUUUGGCAGUGAUUUCUUGGAUAUGACACCAAAAGCAUAGGCAAAAAAAAAAAAAAAAAAAAAGUAAAAAUAGAUAAAUUGGACUACCUCAAAAUUAAGAACUUCUGUGCAUCCAAGGAUAACAAUCAAUAGAGAGAGAAGACAACCCACAGAAUGGAAAAAAAUAUCUGCAAAUCAUGUGUUUGACAAGGGGAUCCUAUCCAAAAUAUAUAAAGAACUUCUGCAAUUCAACAACAACAAAAAUGAAAAACCAGGUUGAAGAAUGGAAAGAGGACUUGUAUAGGCAAUUUCUCCAAAGAUGUACAAAUGACCAAAACACACAUAAAAAGACAAUUCAUGUCACUAAUCAUUAGGGAAUGUAAAUCAAAACCACAU